AGAAUCAACGCUGGCGGCGUGCCUAACACAUGCAAGUCGAACGCGAAGACCCCGCAAGGGGUUGUUAGCGUGGCAAACGGGUGAGUAACACGUGGGCGACCUACCUCAGAGUGGGGGAUAACCUUCCGAAAGGAAGGCUAAUACCGCAUGACAUCCCAUGUUUGGAUACAUGGACAUCAAAGCCGGGGAUCGCAAGACCCGGCGCUUGGAGAGGGGCCCGCGUCCGAUUAGCUAGUUGGUGAGGUAACGGCUCACCAAGGCUCCGAUCGGUA
rnacentral:rRNA from 1 species